rnacentral:lncRNA from 1 species
UGAGUAACAAAAGGAUAAACAGGAAGAGUCUUGAUUCAUAGUUGCGGUAGAAAGGAGAAUUAUGAUUAGUAUGAUUGAGCUUGUGUCAUUUUUUCUUUUUAAUGACGUGAAAUACCCAUUCACCCUUUGCUGGGUUUGAGAUAAAAUUACUUGAGCAUGGCUUGUCUGUACUUGCUUCACCAGUUCUUAUGCACGUACUCGCAAUUUUUUUUAUACUUCUGGUGGAAGGGAUCCUUAUGAUCCAUUUGGUGGAUAUCGUGUCAUGUCUUUUAUGAUGUGAAAUACUACAUCCUCCACUGUGUGAUCUAAAAUUUCUUGAGCAAGGUUUGCCUCUACCUUAUUUU